CAAAAUUUGAGAAUUUGAGGUUGGAUUGAAAUGACAGAAACCUUAAAAUUUGAGGAUUUGAGGUUGGGUUAGAGAUGCUCUAACCGUACAAUGUAUUGUAACAAUCAUUAUGUUAGUAAGGAUAUAAUAUUAAUAGUAAUAAUAAUACUCCAUAUAUUGUACUAGAGGAUGGCCCGCCCUACGGACGGGAAGAUACCUUAAAACUAUUAUACAUAUAUAUAUUAAUUUAUGAACCAUUCAAAAAAUCAGUGUAGAUUAUAAAUGAUAUUAUAG
rnacentral:lncRNA from 1 species